rnacentral:rRNA from 1 species
UACGUAGGGUGCGAGCGUUGUCCGGAAUUACUGGGCGUAAAGAGCUCGUAGGUGGUUUGUCGCGUUGUUCGUGAAAUCUCACGGCUUAACUGUGAGCGUGCGGGCGAUACGGGCAGACUAGAGUACUGCAGGGGAGACUGGAAUUCCUGGUGUAGCGGUGAAAUGCGCAGAUAUCAGGAGGAACACCGGUGGCGAAGGCGGUUCUCUGGGCCUGUUCUGACGCUGAGGAGCGAAAGCGUGGGGAGCAAACAGG